CCUACGGUGGGCAGCAGUGAGGAAUAUUGGUCAAUGGACGAGAGUCUGAACCAGCCAAGUAGCGUGAAGGAUGACUGCCCUAUGGGUUGUAAACUUCUUUUAUAUGGGAAUAAAAUGUUCCACGUGUGGGAUUUUGUAUGUACCAUAUGAAUAAGGAUCGGCUAACUCCGCUCCAGCAGCCGCGGUAAUACGGAGGGUCCGAGCGUUAUCCGGAUUUAUUGGGGUUAAAGGGAGCGUUGGUGGGUUGUUAAGUCAGUUGUGAAAGUUUGCGGCUCAACCGUAAAAUUGCAGUUGAAACUGGCAGUCUAGAGUAUAGUUGAGGUAGGCGGAAUUCGUGGUGUAGCGGUGAAAUGCUUAGAUAUCACGAAGAACCCCGAUUGCGAAGGCAGCUUACUAAACUGUGACUGACAUUGAUGCUCGAAAGUGUGGGUAUCAAACAGGAUUAGAUACCCCUGUAGUC
rnacentral:rRNA from 1 species